AUGCCAGCUGGGAUAAAGUACUGCUGAUUAUAAUCCCUCAAAAUUGAGAAAUUAAUGAUAGUUGUCAAGAAGGGAUGGGUGAAGAGAAAUGUUUUGGAAAGAGGCAGAAUCAUGUGCUGGGAAGAAAAAAAGAGAUCAUUGCAGUUGGGAUGUUGGGAGAUGAGGCCAAUGAGGAGAGAUGAGACUUUGGGAAACGGUAAAUCAUGCUUCGUACAAAGGAAUGGCUCUUGUGGAAAGAUAAUAAAAGGAAACCUAAUUGGGAGACCAGCAGGGGGAGCUCUCAAGCCCUCCACUCCUUGUCCAUUGCAGAUCUAACAGGGCAGGUUCUGUGCCUGGGGCAUUUAGCAAGAGUCACCUUGGGAAUCACCUUGGCAUGGCGACCGAGUGGC